GCUAGUUCCUCUUGUCGUUGAUGGGGAGGUUUGUAAGGAGCAGCACCAGCAGCCAACGCCUCUGACACAAAUCCAUCCAGAAAUGACAGAGAAGAAUCCACCUGGACAAGAUUAUGACUAAACUCCAGCAUCUUCUCGACAAUGACUGUGACAUUCUGGGCGUUUGUGAUCCGAAAGAGCAACUCCAGCGUCUGCAAGAAAACAGAAAAAAAGACCCAUCAUGCAGUAAAACCCACCACUCUGCGACAUCAGAAUUCUGACAACAUCAGCAUCUGAACUCACCUCCCGCUUGAUAAUGAGGUCAGGAUGAUCAAGACACUCGAUGAUGGUCAUCUGAUGCUGCAGAGCCAGCUUAGGAUCCUGCUGGACCACGAAGGAGAGUAUUCUAAGAAGCUGGAUCUGAAGCCAAGGAGCUGGAACGCUGUGAUAAUUAAAAUCCAUGGGCAGCUUUCCUCCCACCACCUGCUUUAAUAUGGCGACAAAACUUGCUGUCAGG